GGGUUUGUAGCUCAGUGGACUAGAGCACGUGGCUACGAACCACGGUGUCGGGGGUUCGAAUCCCUCCUUGCCCA
rnacentral:tRNA from 1 species